GACGAACGCUGGCGGCGUGCCUAAUACAUGCAAGUCGAGCGGACGAAUCGGAAGCUUGCUUUUGAUUCGUUAGCGGCGGACGGGUGAGUAACACGUGGGCAACCUGCCCUGUAGACGGGGAUAACACCGAGAAAUCGGUGCUAAUACCGGAUAACACGAAAUGUCGCAUGACGUUUCGUUGAAAGACGGCGCACGCUGUCGCUACAGGAUGGGCCCGCGGCGCAUUAGCUAGUUGGUGAGGUAACGGCUCACCAAGGCGACGAUGCGUAGCCGACCUGAGAGGGUGAUCGGCCACACUGGGACUGAGACACGGCCCAGACUCCUACGGGAGGCAGCAGUAGGGAAUCUUCCGCAAUGGACGAAAGUCUGACGGAGCAACGCCGCGUGAGCGAAGAAGGCCUUCGGGUCGUAAAGCUCUGUUGUUAGGGAAGAACAAGUAACGCAGUAACUGGCGUUACCGUGACGGUACCUAACGAGAAAGCCACGGCUAACUACGUG
rnacentral:rRNA from 1 species